GGGAGCCAGGUCUCUUGUUUUGUCUUCCCGGUGUGCGAGUAAUGCCGGCAGAGCUGCGGUUAAAGCCCGGGCCGUUUCAAGGAUGGAUUUUGGGAAGCGCGUGGAUCCCUGAAGUUGCAGCUAGCGGCUUUUUAACAGACUGCAGUAAGCUCCUUGGCAGAUGAAUUUGGAGCCAAACAAAACCUGAAGGUACAAGAAAGAAACCUGAAGUAUUGCAGUUCUGGCUGGCAGGGUCAAUUAUGAAGUCUUAAUUUGAAGAGUUGAGAAAGUUCCAUGAAAAGAGGAUCUGGAUCUGAGAAGAUGUACAUGUAAGGAGCCCAUCAUGUCUGUACUGCAAUAGAUUGCUUCCCUCCAUGGGACCAGGCAUGUGAGUCUCUGCACAGAUACACUAGAACUUCCAGGAAACAUCUCUAACUUGUGCUCUCACAUGGAAGCGACACAUAUUCAGGCAAGCCUAAGUGCUUCCAUAGUGCUAGUCUGGUGCAGUGACCUGUGUAUCUUCUCCAUUCUCUUCUACAAGGAGGAAAAAUUUUGUGCAUGCUCUCCAUGUGCAUGAUUGGGUGGUUGACUGCAAAGGUAAAGGACACCAAAUAUUUGCAUGCUUAAAAACAAUGAUUCCUCACUUCUUUUGUUUUCCAUCUCUCUGAGUGACAUAAAGAGCAUCCUGUAAAGGCCAGAAUUAGCACCAGAUGUGUAUGUAUGUGGCUGGGAAAGAAAGAGGAUAAUUGCAUAUACUUCUAAAGUGAAAAGCAUUUUUCUUCCAAGAGUGAAUGUACUCAAUUCAGCAGCCUUUCCUUGUAUGAAGAUGGAGAGCCACUGCCUUACGUGCAAACUGUCAGCAAGUCCCAUUCUCAAAAGUUUGAGUUGACCAACAUCAGAUGGCAAGCCUGACAGCCACAUCUGAGGAAAGUGGACUUUGUGACACCUGAAAGAAGCCCCUGGGCCUUGAAGCUACUAAGUGACAAGGAGAUACUUCAUGUCUGCCAAAAGCUUUAGAAGUGCCCCACAUGGCUGCUCUGUGACUCUGCAUGAAGCAAGACCUGCAUUUGCAGGUUCUCCUGCUCUUGCUCCAGGUUUCUGGUUCAUCUGACUGAAAUCCUAUUUUACUGUGAAACCAGUAGAUGCUGUCCUGAACAAGACUUUGCGUUUUUCCUGGAUG